rnacentral:rRNA from 1 species
CAAUAGCGUAUAUUAAAGUUGUUGCAGUUAAAAAGCUCGUAGUUGGAUUUCUGGUGGGAGCGAUCGGUCUGGCGCUUAGCGCGAGUACUUGCAUCGUCUCCGGCCAUCCUUGGGGAGAGUCUGUCUGGCAUUAGGUUGUCGGGCAGAGGAUCCUCAUCGUUUACUGUGAAAAAAUUAGAGUGUUCAAAGCAGGCUUAUGCCGUUGAAUAUAUUGGCAUGGAAUAAUAAGAUAGGACUUUGGUACUAUUUUGUUGGUUUGCGCACCAAAGUAAUGAUUAAUAGGGACAGUUGGGGGUAUUCGUAUUCCGUUGUCAGAGGUGAAAUUCUUGGAUUUACGGAAGACGAACUACUGCGAAAGCAUUUACCAAGGAUGUUUUCAUUAA